CAGGAUGAACGCUAGCGGCAGGCUUAAUACAUGCAAGGCGAAGGGGCAGCAAUGUCACUGUCGUACGGGUGCGUAACGCGUAUGCAACCUACCUAUCACUGGGGGAUAGCCCGGGGAAACCCGGAUUAAUACCGCAUAAAACAGGGGCACCGCAUGGUGAUAUUUGUUAAAGAUUUAUUGGUGAUAGAUGGGCAUGCGUUCGAUUAGCUAGUUGGCGGGGUAACGGCCCACCAAGGCGACGAUCGAUAGGGGAGCUGAGAGGUUGAUCCCCCACACGGGCACUGAGAUACGGGCCCGACUCCUACGGGAGGCAGCAGUAGGGAAUAUUGGGCAAUGGAUGCAAGUCUGACCCAGCCAUGCCGCGUGCCGGAUGAAGGCCCUCAGGGUUGUAAACGGCUUUUAUUCGGGAAGAAGAGCAGGNAUGCGUCCUUGUGUGACGGUACCGAAGAAU
rnacentral:rRNA from 1 species